rnacentral:rRNA from 1 species
GCUUAGAGAGGGGUCAAUGUCCUAUCAGCUAGUUGGUAGGGUAAUGGCCUACCAAGGCUAAGACGGGUAGCCGGCCUGAGAGGGUGGUCGGCCACACUGGGACUGAGACACUGCCCAGACUCCUACGGGAGGCUGCAGUCGAGAAUCUUUCGCAAUGCCCGAAAGGGUGACGAAGCGGCGCCGCGUGUGGGAAGAAGGCCUUCGGGUUGUAAACCACUGUCGGGAGUUAAGAAAUGCAAGGGUGUUGAUAGCAUCCUUGCUUGACUAAGGCUCCGGAGGAAGCCACGGCUAACUCUGUGCCAGCAGCCGCGGUAAUACAGAGGCGGCAAGCGUUGUUCGGAAUUAUUGGGCGUAAAGAGCACGUAGGCGGCUUUGUAAGUCAGUUGUGAAAGCCUUCUGCUCAACGGAAGAACAGCAUCUGAUACUGCAAGGCUAGAGUGCGGAAGGG